rnacentral:misc_RNA from 1 species
CUUUGCUUCAAUAAAAAAAUGAUUAACAGUGAAUAGAAAGUCACAUAGAGGAGGAAAAAAGAAUGCACAUUUAGAAACUCCAGAAUAAGCAACUUCUCGUUUGGAGUUCAAAAGAUUGACUAUAGAACUGAUUUAUGAGGUGAACUCUUCCAUGAAAAGUUCAGUUUUGAUCAUGUCUUAUCAAUCAUCUAUGUGAAUUAUAUGACUAACGAAGAACCUAUGCAAGGUAACUAAUAACAUCUGUAUAUUUCAAAAC